CCGUCGAUAGCUCAGUUGGUAGAGCGGUGGACUGUAGAGGUUCUCCAACGUUGAUAUCCAUAGGUCGCUGGUUCAAAUCCGGCUCGACGGA
rfam:Ixodes scapularis strain Wikel colony gcontig_1107729148418, whole genome shotgun sequence.